rnacentral:rRNA from 1 species
AUUGAACGCUGGCGGCAGGCCUAACACAUGCAAGUCGAACGGUAACAUUUCUAGCUUGCUAGAAGAUGACGAGUGGCGGACGGGUGAGUAAUGCUUGGGAACUUGCCUUCGGGAGGGGGAUAACAGUUGGAAACGACUGCUAAUACCGCAUAGCGUCUACGGACCAAAGGGGGCUUAGGCUCCUACCUGAAGAGAGGCCCAAGUGAGAUUAGCUAGUUGGUAAGGUAACGGCUUACCAAGGCAACGAUCUCUAGCUGUUCUGAGAGGAAGAUCAGCCACACUGGGACUGAGACACGGCCCAGACUCCUACGGGAGGCAGCAGUGGGGAAUAUUGCACAAUGGGGGAAACCCUGAUGCAGCCAUGCCGCGUGUGUGAAGAAGGCCUUCGGGUUGUAAAGCACUUUCAGUUGUGAGGAAAGGUUGGUAGUUAAUACCUGCCAGCUGUGACGUUAACAACAGAAGAAGCACCGGCUAACUCCGUGCCAGCAGCCGCGGUAAUACGGAGGGUGCGAGCGUUAAUCGGAAUUACUGGGCGUAAAGCGCACGCAGGCGGUUUGUUAAGCUAGAUGUGAAAGCCCCGGGCUCAACCUGGGAUGGUCAUUUAGAACUGGCAGACUAGAGUCUUGGAGAGGGGAGUGGAAUUCCAGGUGUAGCGGUGAAAUGCGUAGAUAUCUGGAGGAACAUCAGUGGCGAAAGCGGCUCCCUGGCCAAAGACUGACGCUCAUGUGCGAAAGUGUGGGUAGCGAACAGGAUUAGAUACCCUGGUAGUCCACACCGUAAACGCUGUCUACUAGCUGUUUGUGGAUUUAAUCCGUGAGUAGCGAAGCUAACGCGCUAAGUAGACCGCCUG